rfam:Glycine max cultivar Williams 82 chromosome 12, whole genome shotgun sequence.
CACAAAUCAAGGUAUUGGCGUGCCUCAAUUUGAAGACAUGGUUAAGAUGAAAACCAGCCAUGUAAUUUUAAUUGAGCCGCGUCAAUAUCUCAUCUUGCACU